UCACCUCUGGAAGCCAUUACUUAAGUGUUU
rnacentral:piRNA from 1 species